GUGUUUGCUGUGUUACAGAGGCUACAAUAUUGCAGCACUCUACCAUGUACCAUAUGCCUCAACUGUUUUUUGCUAGCUGCAGGGCCUCUUCACUUCAGGUCUCGGAUUCAGUCCUGCCUGACCGUGGCCUGUGCAGCUUGUAAACCAGAUGGACUACCACCGAUCCUAUCAUUUAAUGGCUUCAUUUCAACAGCAUGCAGAGGGAGCAAAUAAGCCCUGACUGACAAUAUCUGGCUUGACGUUCUUCGCAAGCAGAGCUGAAGCGGACCGGAGCUGGGAAUCUCGGUGAAUAAUUGGAUGCUUGUGUGGAUGCUUGGCUCUGCUCUCCGCGAGCACCGUUACUCUGCCAGCCUAGGCGUGCAGCUCGGUCCACAGGUUUCGCGCCCUCGGCCGAGACGUCCCAGGCUGCAGACUUUGAAACCGGCGAAUCCUGGAUGAUAUGAAACCGCAGACGUCAUUGCAUUGUGAAUUGAAAAUGAUGAUAAAAUGACCGAAUGACUAAUAAAGGGCUAAUAAAAUGACUAAUGAUGCUCGAUGAGAAGUAUGUCGUGUUAACGCUCCGAUUCCAAACCUCCUGCACUAAUGGUGCUGGUUCUGA